UGAACUGUCGGAUGACUCGUCGCAGUGA
rnacentral:piRNA from 1 species